rnacentral:rRNA from 1 species
CCUACGGGUGGCAGCAGUCGAGAAUCAUUCACAAUGGGGGAAACCCUGAUGGUGCGACGCCGCGUGGGGGAAUGCAGGUCUUCGGAUUGUAAACCCCUGUCAUGUGGGAGCAAAUUAAAAAGAUAGUACCACAAGAGGAAGAGACGGCUAACUCUGUGCCAGCAGCCGCGGUAAUACAGAGGUCUCAAGCGUUGUUCGGAAUCACUGGGCGUAAAGCGUGUGUAGGCUGUUUCGUAAGUCGCGUGUGAAAGGCGCGGGCUCAACCCGCGGACGGCACAUGAUACUGCGAGACUAGAGUAAGGGAGGGGGAACCGGAAUGCUCGGUGUAGCAGUGAAAUGCGUAGAUAUCGAGAGGAACACUCGUGGCGAAGGCGGGUUCCUGGACAUUAACUGACGCUGAGGCACGAAGGCCAGGGGAGCGAAAGGGAUUAGAUACCCUGGUAGUC